rnacentral:rRNA from 1 species
AACGAACGCUGGCGGCAUGCCUAACACAUGCAAGUCGAACGAGACCUUCGGGUCUAGUUGCGCACGGGUGCGUAACGCGUGGGAACCUGCCCGUAGGUUCGCAAUAACUCCCCGAAAGGGGUGCUAAUACCGGAUAAUGUCUUCCGACCAAAGAUUUAUGGCCUUUGGAUGGGCCCUCGUUGGAUUAGCUGGUUGGUAGGGUAAAAGCCUACCAAGGAGACGUUGCAUAGCUGGUCUGAUAGGAUGAUCAGCCACACUGGGACUGAGACACGGCCCAGAAUGCUACGGGAGGGAGGAGUGGGGAAUAUUGGACAAGGGGCGAAAGCCUGAUACAGCAAUGUCGCGUGAGUGAUGAAGGCCGUAGGGUUGUAAAGCUCUUUUACACGGGAUGAUAAUGACAGUACCGGGAGAAUAAGCACCGGCUAACUCCGUG